rnacentral:rRNA from 1 species
CAGCCGCCGCGGUAAUACGAAGGGGGCUAGCGUUGCUCGGAAUGACUGGGCGUAAAGGGCGCGUAGGCGGCGAUCAAAGUCAGGCGUGAAAUUCCUGGGCUCAACCUGGGGGCUGCGUUUGAUACUUGAUUGCUAGAGUGGGGAAGAGGGUCGUGGAAUUCCCAGUGUAGAGGCGAAAUUCGUAGAUAUUGGGAAGAACACCGGUGGCGAAGGCGGCGACCUGGUCCUUGACUGACGCUGAGGCGCGAAAGCGUGGGGAGCAAACAGGAUUAGAUACCCGAGUAGUCCCUGUCUCUUAUAA